rnacentral:rRNA from 1 species
CAGCCGCCGCGGGAAUACGAAGGGUGCAAGCGUUAAUCGGAAUUACUGGGCGUAAAGCGUGCGUAGGCGGUUUGUUAAGUCUGCUGUGAAAUCCCCGGGCUCAACCUGGGAAUGGCAGUGGAUACUGGCAAGCUAGAGUGUGUCAGAGGAUGGUGGAAUUCCCGGUGUAGCGGUGAAAUGCGUAGAGAUCGGGAGGAACAUCAGUGGCGAAGGCGGCCAUCUGGGACAACACUGACGCUGAGGCACGAAAGCGUGGGGAGCAAACAGGAUUAGAUACCCCGGUAGUCCCUGUCUCUUAUAC